rnacentral:sRNA from 1 species
ACAAUUGAAUUUCUGAAACUGUCGAUAAGAGCUGCUGACUUGUAAUAAAAAAGGCAGAGUGUUCAUGGAAUCACCCCUACCCCUGAUUGGGUUGCUGGUUAACCCUAUUCACAGCGUAUUGGUGGAUUAUCUAAUUCUUGAUGUUAAUGUCUAAUUGUUAACGGAUUCAAAACGAGGAUCUAACGCAGUAAUUUCUAUCCCGUUGUUUUAUAUUCAAAUAACCCCGAGUGUACCGCGGUUAGAAAAUAAAACCACUUUUUUAAAAAAAAAGUCCGAUAAUGUUUCUAUUGUGCAAGAAACAGGAAGUUUCUUUGUGUGAAACUAUCAGCUUUCAAGCUCAAUAUUAUCCGAGACUUAAAUACUUAUGAUAACAUUAAUGGAAAGGAAAUUCGUUGUUUCACGCCAGAGUUGAACAGUCAUUGAGGUUGUGAGUUUUGGUAUUUUUGACAGAGACUACUGAAAACAAUAGCCGGGACCUUGGAAAAGGUCAAAAUAGGGAUUUCAUGACGAAAUCUUCAAACAAUAAGUAACAAUGACUCACAGUGCUAAAGUUUUUAUGCUGGUAUCAAGAUUUCGGGUGCCGACUUAUUGGUCAAUGCAGUUGUCUUAAUCUUUUAAAAUCGGUGAAAUCUUGUAGGAAUGUGGCUAAUAACUGGAUAAAAGAAGUGUAGUAGUGUAUAUCGUAAAUGUACGGAAUUGUCGACACAGUUUUGGACUCUUUGACUUUCUACAUGAGUAAACUGUCAGACAAUCGCACGAUGCCAGAUCCAUCACACUUGCUAGCUCUCUCGGUGUGGGAGCGAACUCUCGCCCCGCUCCUUCUUUUGGAGUGAGCAACUAAUUAAACGCCGCGCACGAAAUGCGAGUCCUUACAACAAAUUAUUUCCGUGUGUUUACGAGAUGCAUUUUUUAUCGUCUUGCCCGUAUUGAGAUGAUAUAUCGAUACAUUGGGAGGUUUGUUUGCAUACAGGAAGAAAAAAAAAGAACCCGAAUGAAGAUUAACAGUAUAUUCUUGCGUGAAGUUAUCUCCAAAGCAGGUUUCUAAUCUCAUUCAUCAGUUUUUAGGAAAAUCCAAGUUGAAGACAUGUUAUUUCAGAAUUUGAAAUCUCUUUUGUCUCAUCAAGUGCAGGAAACCCUAUUAAUUACUAAAUCAAAGAUUUCCUCACAAUGAAUGGUGAUAGAAUCUGGAAGAAACAACUGAAGAUUGGACCCCAGACAAAUCUCCAGAGAUCCUUGUUUUGUGAUUGAGAUAGAAAAAAAACCCGUGUUUGUAAAUGGGCCAAAGUAAAUAAAGCAUAUCAUGCUAA